UUAAAAGUUUUAUAGGGUUCCGCAACUUUAAAAUAGAGCUGGUCUGGUCCGAGAUAAAACGUACAGUUUAACUGUAUACACGGAAGGAUAAAAGCCUGGGAGGU
rnacentral:sRNA from 2 species